UGCAUUUUGUAGCAUUUUUGCUUUCGACAACUAUUUGUAAGGCAAAGAAGUCUUGUAUUACACCUUAAUCAAUAGAAAGACCGCA